rnacentral:rRNA from 1 species
UAAUACGAAGGGGGCUAGCGUUGCUCGGAAUCACUGGGCGUAAAGCGCACGUAGGCGGAUCUUUAAGUCAGGGGUGAAAUCCCGAGGCUCAACCUCGGAACUGCCUUUGAUACUGGGGAUCUCGAGUCCGGAAGAGGUUGGUGGAACUCCGAGUGUAGAGGUGAAAUUCGUAGAUAUUCGGAAGAACACCAGUGGCGAAGGCGGCCAACUGGUCCGGUACUGACGCUGAGGUGCGAAAGCGUGGGGAGCAAACAGG